UACGUAGGUGGCAAGCGUUGUCCGGAUUUACUGGGCGUAAAGAGCGCGCAGGCGGUCGAAUAAGUCGAAUGUGAAAGCCCCCGGCUCAACUGGGGAGGGUCAUUCGAUACUGCUCGACUUGAAGGCAGGAGAGGGUAGUGGAAUUCCCGGUGUAGUGGUGAAAUGCGUAGAUAUCGGGAGGAACACCAGUGGCGAAGGCGGCUACCUGGACCAGCACUGACACUGAGGCACGAAAGCGUGGGGAGCAAACAGG
rnacentral:rRNA from 1 species